ACGGAGGGUGCAAGCGUUAAUCGGAAUUACUGGGCGUAAAGCGCGCGUAGGCGGUUUGGUAAGUCGGGUGUGAAAGCCCCGGGCUCAACCUGGGAAUUGCACUCGAUACUGCCAGACUAGAGUAUGGUAGAGGGAAGUGGAAUUCCGCAUGUAGCGGUGAAAUGCAUAGAGAUGCGGAGGAACACCAGUGGCGAAGGCGACUUCCUGGACCAAUACUGACGCUGAGGUGCGAAAGCGUGGGGAGCAAACAGG
rnacentral:rRNA from 1 species